ensembl:misc_RNA Y_RNA Y RNA
GGCUGGUCCUAGAACAGUAGUGUUUGUUACUAAUUGAUAACAAACAGUUGCAGAUUUCCUUUUUCCUUCUCUACUCCCACCGCUUCACUUGAUUAGGCUUUA